CGACCGCUGGCGGCGUGCUUAACACAUGCAAGUCGCACGGAAAGGCCCUGCUUUUGUGGGGUGCUCGAGUGGCGAACGGGUGAGUAACACGUGAGUAACCUGCCCUUGACUUUGGGAUAACUUCAGGAAACUGGGGCUAAUACCGGAUAGGAGCUCCUGCUGCAUGGUGGGGGUUGGAAAGUUUCGGCGGUUGGGGAUGGACUCGCGGCUUAUCAGCUUGUUGGUGGGGUAGUGGCUUACCAAGGCUUUGACGGGUAGCCGGCCUGAGAGGGUGACCGGCCACAUUGGGACUGAGAUACGGCCCAGACUCCUACGGGAGGCAGCAGUGGGGAAUAUUGCACAAUGGGCGGAAGCCUGAUGCAGCAACGCCGCGUGCGGGAUGACGGCCUUCGGGUUGUAAACCGCUUUCGCCUGUGACGAAGCGUGAGUGACGGUAAUGGGUAAAGAAGCACCGGCUAACUACGUG
rnacentral:rRNA from 1 species